rnacentral:rRNA from 1 species
AUUGAACGCUGGCGGCAGGCCUAACACAUGCAAGUCGAGCGGAUGAAGGGAGCUUGCUCCUGGAUUCAGCGGCGGACGGGUGAGUAAUGCCUAGGAAUCUGCCUGGUAGUGGGGGAUAACGUCCGGAAACGGGCGCUAAUACCGCAUACGUCCUGAGGGAGAAAGUGGGGGAUCUUCGGACCUCACGCUAUCAGAUGAGCCUAGGUCGGAUUAGCUAGUUGGUGGGGUAAAGGCCUACCAAGGCGACGAUCCGUAACUGGUCUGAGAGGAUGAUCAGUCACACUGGAACUGAGACACGGUCCAGACUCCUACGGGAGGCAGCAGUGGGGAAUAUUGGACAAUGGGCGAAAGCCUGAUCUAGCCAUGCCGCGUGUGUGAAGAAGGUCUUCGGAUUGUAAAGCACUUUAAGUUGGGAGGAAGGGCAGUAAGUUAAUACCUUGCUGUUUUGACGUUACCAACAGAAUAAGCACCGGCUAACUUCGU